AAGCGCCGCGCCGAGCCCAUCUGAGCGGGCGCCACCGCGCUCCCGCCGCAGCCGCGCUUCCCCGCGCCCAGCCAGCGGGCGAGGCCAGAGCGGGGCCCCGGCCCAGCUUCCUUCUCGCCGCCCGCGGCGUCCCCGGGCGGGCGCGGGCCGCGAUGGGAGCAGCCGAGCGGGGCUGAGUCCGCCGCCGCCCGCAGCCCCUGGUCCCCUCGGGCCCCAACCAUGGCGAAGCAGUACGAUGUGCUGUUCCGGCUGCUGCUGAUCGGAGACUCCGGGGUGGGCAAGACCUGCCUGCUGUGCCGCUUCACCGACAACGAGUUCCACUCCUCGCACAUCUCCACCAUCGGU
rnacentral:lncRNA from 1 species